rnacentral:pre_miRNA from 1 species
AAAAAGACAAACCCUGGUUUCCGUGCCCAACGUUUGACCGUCCGUCUUAUUUGAAAAAAUUAUGAAAAAAAAUAAAAAGACAAGUCACGCAUAAAAUAUUAAUCAUGUUUUAUCAUCUAACAACAAUGAAAAUACAAAUUAUAAAAAAAAUUUAUAUAAGACGGACCGUUAAAGUUGGACACAGAAAAUCAAGGUUUAAUUUUUU